GUACGUCGGCCGGCAGCUUGGCGCGUCAGGACUCAGGACACGAGAAGACCGGCGGCUGAAGCAAAGCAUCCCCGUCCGCCCCCUUCCCCACACGCGCACAGCGUGCUAGCCAGGAGCAAGCACAGCACUAGCCACUAGCUAGAGCGCACGAGCGCGGGGAUGGAAUCGAUCCGGUGGCCGCGGUCGGCAAGGCAGCGCCGCGACAGGCCGAUUCCUUCCUUGCCGCUCGCCUUGCCCCCAUCCCCCUUUAACCGCACGCCACCUUACCCGAGAACCUAGCCAUGGUUGCCAAGCCGCCGCCGCAGCAGCAUAAUCAGAAGAAGAUCGAGGCGGAGGCAUGGACGACGCGUCCCUCGAGCACACGCCCACCUGGGUCGUGGCCGCCGUCUGCUUCGUCAUCGUCUCCGUCUCCCUCGCCGCCGAGCGCUUCCUCCACUACCUCGGCAAGGCAUUAAAACAUAAGCAGCAGAAAACAUUGUAUUCGUCCCUACAGAGACUAAAAGAAGAGUUAAUGCUUCUUGGAUUCAUUUCCUUCAUCCUGAGUCUCUCACAGAGUUUUAUUGUUCACAUUUGCAUUCCGGAAACCGCUACACGUUUCAUGCUUCCAUGCAAGAGAGAGAAUCACAAAGUUAUAGAAGAAGGUGGCAUAGUUUGCAAGAAAAAGGGUGAUGUCCCCUUUCUAUCACUGGAGGCAUUGCAUCAGCUGCACAUAUUCAUAUUUGUACUUGGCUUGGUCCAUGUGGUUUUCUGUGCUACAACAAUAUUGCUUGGUGGAGCGAAGAUAAGAAGAUGGAAGCAUUGGGAGAAUGGAAUUCACCGAGAUAUACAACAUAAAUUUGCAGAACUACAAACAGAUAUUGUAGGAAACGUUACACCAUUGCAUGUUGUGCUACGCCAUAAUCACCAGGGUGAAUUGGUCAGUGAGCGAACCAGGGGAUUUUGGAAGCAGCUGGCUGUUGUGAGCUGGAUAAUUGCGUUCUCGAAGCAAUUUCAUGAUUCUGUGGGUAAAUCAGAUUAUGAAGCGCUUAGAUCAGCGUUCGUCUUAAUACACUACCCAAGGCACCCAAACUUUGAUUUCCACAAGUACAUGACCCGUGCCCUUGAGCAUGACUUUAAGAGGGUUGUUGGUAUCAGCUGGUACCUGUGGCUUUUUGUUAUCGUUUUCCUUUUGCUGAAUAUAAAUGGAUGGCACACAUACUUCUGGUUAGCUUUCUUGCCUCUAUUUCUCCUGCUUGUUGUUGGCGCAAAGCUACAGCACAUUAUUACUCGAUUAGCUCAGGAGGCAGCAGCAUCAUUAGCAGAUAAAACAAACCAAGUCCCGAACAUAAAGCCAUCCAAGGAGCAUUUCUGGUUUGGGAAACCUUCAAUUGUCCUUCAUUUGAUCCAUUUCAUCCUAUUCCAGAACGCCUUCGAGAUUGGUUUUUUCUUCUGGGUCUUGGUAACAUAUGGGUUCGAUUCAUGCAUCAUGGAGAAGAAGGCUUACGCCAUCUCCAGACUUGUUAUUGGUCUGAUCAUCCAGGUGGUGUGCAGCUACAUCACCCUGCCAUUAUACGCCAUCGUCACCCACAUGAGCGGAGACAUCAAGCUGCAAGCGCUGGGCUCGGGCCUCCACGAGUCCGUGGCGAACUGGGCCACGGGUGCCCGGAAGAGGGGCCGCUCAGAGACGAGCCUCCGGAACUCACUCACCUUGAAGAAGGCCGGCGCCACGGAUCCCGUCGCCGGCCGCGGCGACAGCGUCGAGAUUCCGGUGGCGCGGGCGCCCAACGAGCGCUUCGGCAGCUCGCGCAACAUGCUGACGCCGGCGGCAGUCCCCGACCUGGACGAGAUCGUAUCCGUCGCGGACGUCGACAGCCGGAGGUGAACGUGCAGAGGCGACAGGCUACAUGCCGCGCCGGCAUGCCCUGCCGGUGCCAGCCGGGACAUUGCUGGUGUCCGCCGGGGCUCUGUACAUCUGGGCCGGGAGGGAGGGCGUACCGCCUGGUUGCGCAGGCAGGCGCCCUCGUCUCGUGCACGCUGACGGACACUACGCACUGUAAUGUCACGGCUUCUCUGUAAACGGUACGAGCGGACAGGACGCGUCUCCGGCCGGCUGUCGCGACAUGUCAUGUGAGACACAUGCUACAAAGGUCGUUGGCCUCCCUCGUCGUUUCCGCGUGAUCUCUCCGUCGCUAGCGCUCGAAGCAGAUGCUGCUCAUGACUCCUCGCAUGCGUGCACCUGCAGAGCAAGCAGCAGCGAGCGAGGCGAGUCCAUAUCGAAAGAUGGAUGGGCGUACGGCGCGUUCUCUCGAUCCGUCCGUCCAUCGACCGUG